rnacentral:rRNA from 1 species
AGAGUUUGAUUAUGGCUCAGGAUGAACGCUAGCGGCAGGCUUAACACAUGCAAGUCGAGGGGCAGCGGGAUGUAGCAAUACAUUGCCGGCGACCGGCGGAUGGGUGCGUAACGCGUAUGCAACCUACCUUAUACAGGGGAAUAACCUUUCGAAAGGGAGACUAACACCCCAUAGUAUUGAUUUAAGGCAUCUUAGAUUAAUUAAAUAUUUAUAGGUAUAAGAUGGGCAUGCGUAUGAUUAGCUAGUUGGUAAGGUAACGGCUUACCAAGGCGACGAUCAUUAGGGGUUCUGAGAGGAAGGUCCCCCACACUGGUACUGAGACACGGACCAGACUCCUACGGGAGGCAGCAGUGAGGAAUAUUGGUCAAUGGGCGCAAGCCUGAACCAGCCAUGCCGCGUGCAGGAAGACGGCCUUAUGGGUUGUAAACUGCUUUUACAUAAGACUAACCGUAUAUUUGCGAAUAUACCUGAAUGUAUUAUGAGAAUAAGGAUCGGCUAACUCCGUGCCAGCCGCAGC